GCCAGGCAUAGUGGCAUAUCCCUGAAAUUCCAGCUACUUGGGAGGCCAAGAUGGGAGGAACACUUGAGGCCAGGAAUUUAAGACCAACUUGGGCAACAAAGGAAGACCCUGUCUUAU
rnacentral:sRNA from 1 species